AACGAACGCUGGCGGCAUGCCUAACACAUGCAAGUCGAACGCGUGUAGCAAUACACGAGUGGCGAACGGGUGAGUAACGCGUGGGAACCUGCCUAGCGGUAGGGAAUAACCGCGGGAAACUGCGGCUAAUACCCUAUGAGCCCUACGGGGGAAAGAUUUAUCGCCAUUAGAGGGGCCCGCGUCGGAUUAGCUUGUUGGUGAGGUAACGGCUCACCAAGGCGACGAUCCGUAGCUGGUCUGAGAGGAUGAUCAGCCACACUGGGACUGAGAUACGGCCCAGACUCCUACGGGAGGCAGCAGUGGGGAAUAUUGGACAAUGGGGGCAACCCUGAUCCAGCAAUGCCGCGUGAGUGAAGAAGGCCUUAGGGUUGUAAAGCUCUUUCGGCGGGGACGAUGAUGACGGUACCCGCAGAAGAAGCCCCGGCUAACUUCGUGCCAGCCGCCGCAGUAACAC
rnacentral:rRNA from 1 species